GCAGUCGAGCGGACCGACGGGAGCUUGCUCCCUUAGGUCAGCGGCGGACGGGUGAGUAACACGUGGGUAACCUGCCUGUAAGACUGGGAUAACUCCGGGAAACCGGGGCUAAUACCGGAUGCUUGAUUGAACCGCAUGGUUCAAUCAUGAAAGGCGGCUUCGGCUGCCGUUUACAGAUGGACCCGCGGCGCAUUAGCUAGUUGGUGAGGUAACGGCUCACCAAGGCGACGAUGCGUAGCCGACCUGAGAGGGUGAUCGGCCACACUGGGACUGAGACACGGCCCAGACUCCUACGGGAGGCAGCAGUAGGGAAUCUUCCGCAAUGGACGAGAGUCUGACGGAGCAACGCCGCGUGAGUGAUGAAGGUUUUCGGAUCGUANAGCUCUGUUGUUAGGGAAGAACAAGUACCGUUCGAAUAGGGCGGUACCUUGACGGUACCUAACCAGAGAGCCACGGCUAACUACGUGCCAGCAGCCGCGGUAAUACGUAGGUGGCAAGCGUU
rnacentral:rRNA from 1 species